GUGACAGAGUGAGAGAGGGGGUGACUAAUGACAGAGUGAGCGAGGGUGUGACUAGUGACAGAGUGAGAGAGGGGGUGACUGUCACUAGUCACCCCAUCCCUCUCUCUGUCACUAGUCACUCCCUCCCUCACUCUGUCACUAGUCACUCCCUCCCUCACUCUGUCACUGUUACCCCCUCUCUCCCUAGUCACCCUUUCCUCACUCUGUCACUAGUCACCCCAUCCUUCUCUCUGUCACUAGUCACCCCAUCCCUCUCUCUGUCACUAGUCAC